rnacentral:rRNA from 1 species
UACGGAGGGGGUUAGCGUUGUUCGGAAUUACUGGGCGUAAAGCGCGCGUAGGCGGACAUUUAAGUUAGAGGUGAAAUCCCAGGGCUCAACCCUGGAACUGCCUUUAAUACUGGGUGUCUUGAGUUCGAGAGAGGUGAGUGGAAUUCCGAGUGUAGAGGUGAAAUUCGUAGAUAUUCGGAGGAACACCAGUGGCGAAGGCGGCUCACUGGCUCGAUACUGACGCUGAGGUGCGAAAGCGUGGGGAGCAAAC